rnacentral:rRNA from 1 species
CCUACGGGAGGCAGCAGUGAGGAAUAUUGGUCAAUGGGCGAGAGCCUGAACCAGCCAAGUCGCGUGAAGGAUGACGGCCCUACGGGUUGUAAACUUCUUUUGUCAGGGAGCAAUUGGGUCCACGCGUGGGCUUAGCGAGAGUACCUGACGAAAAAGCAUCGGCUAACUCCGUGCCAGCAGCCGCGGUAAUACGGAGGAUGCGAGCGUUAUCCGGAUUUAUUGGGUUUAAAGGGUGCGUAGGCGGAAUAUCAAGUCAGCGGUAAAAAUUCGGGGCUCAACCCCGUCGUGCCGUUGAAACUGAUGGUCUUGAGUGGGCGAGAAGUAUGCGGAAGGCGUGGUGUAGCGGUGAAAUGCAUAGAUAUCACGCAGAACUCCGAUUGCGAAGGCAGCAUACCGGCGCCAAACUGACGCUGAAGCACGAAAGCGUGGGUAUCGAACAGGAUUAGAUACCCGAGUAGUC